GUCACGUGAUGAGUGGCAGCAGAAACUCAUCAUUGUUUCUAAACCCUCCAGUAAGAUGCUGUGACCUUUGACCUCCUGGCAGAGAAAGUCUGGGAGGGUCGGCGUGAUGGACCAGAACCGGUUUCCUUAAGAUGCUGGAAAAGGAAGAAGAAAGAAACUGUGGACCAGAUGAUGAAGGUUUGGAGCUGCUGCAGCAGGACAGCAGCUCCAGAACUCUGCUGGUGUUCUCUGGAGCCGGAAGAGAAGAUUUGGACCAGAAACCUCAGAUUGAAGACGGAGCCACUCUGGCUCUGCAGACGAUCUGUCCCUGAUGGACGUCUGUCCUCAGCGCUGAGUAGAGGACACAUGUAGAGGAACAUCGUCUCACCAGAAGAACCAGAAGAAUCAAUGAGAGAAAAACCAGGAAGAUAAAAAUAAAAAUGGAAACAACGACUGUGAUGGUGGGAAAAGAUGAACCAGGAGGAGGAGAAGAGGAUG